rnacentral:rRNA from 1 species
UACGGGGGGGGCAAGCGUUGUUCGGAAUUACUGGGCGUAAAGGGCGUGUAGGCGGCCAACUAAGUCCGACGUGAAAUCCCCAGGCUUAACCUGGGAACUGCGUCGGAUACUGGAUGGCUUGAAUCCGGGAGAGGGAUGCAGAAUUCCAGGUGUAGCGGUGAAAUGCGUAGAUAUCAGGAGGAACACCGGUGGCGAAGGCGGGUCUCUGGGCCGAUAUUGACGCUGAGGAGCGAAAGCGUGGGGAGCGAACAGG